CGCGUAGGCGGGAUGGCAAGUCGGUCGUGAAAUCCUUCGGCUCAACCGAAGAACGUCGGCCGAUACUGCCGUUCUUGAGGGAUGCAGAGGAGAUUGGAAUUCCCGGUGUAGCGGUGAAAUGUGUAGAGAUCGGGAGGAACACCGGUGGCGAAGGCGGGUCUCUGGGCAUCUUCUGACGCUGAGGCGCGAAAGCGUGGGGAGCAAACG
rnacentral:rRNA from 1 species